GCAUUUAUUGCUUAGUGCACAUGGUUAAUGCAUUUGGCUGCUAACCAAAAGGCUGGAGGUUCAAAUCCACCCACAGGUA
rnacentral:tRNA from 1 species